AUUGAACGCUGGCGGCAGGCCUAACACAUGCAAGUCGAGCGGAGCGGCGGACGGGUGAGUAAUGCCUAGGAAUCUGCCUGGUAGUGGGGGAUAACGUCCGGAAACGGGCGCUAAUACCGCAUACUAUCAGAUGAGCCUAGGUCGGAUUAGCUAGUUGGUGGGGUAAGGGCCUACCAAGGCGACGAUCCGUAACUGGUCUGAGAGGAUGAUCGGUCACACUGGAACUGGGACACGGCCCCAACUCCUACGGUAGGCAGCAGUGGGGAAUAUUGGACAAUGGGCGAAAGCCUGAUCCAGCCAUGCCGCGUGUGUGAAGCGGGUCUUCGGAUUAUAAGGCACUUUAAGUUGGGAGGCGUUACCAACAGAAGAAGCACCGGCUAACUUCGUGCCAGCAGCCGCGGUAAUUC
rnacentral:rRNA from 1 species